UUGCAGCCCAAAGCCGCCAGCUUUCUGGAAAUGGCAAGUGAGACACUUGUUGCCAUGGUGAUCCCUAAUAGUUCUGACUCAGAUGUAGCGUUGCUGUGGCAACUGCAUCCGAAGCCCUCGGGAGGCAGUGCUGCCGCUAUUUUUCUCCCGUAGCAGAAAAGGGCUCCUAGAGCCCCGUUUCGCUCCCUCCCCGCUGCAGUGCGGUGACGAAGGCUGUCUCGCUGUCCCCCCCCGUCCGAGGCUCCCGAGCUUUCACCAAAGGGUCCGCUACUCUGCAGGGCAGAACCAAAAUCUCGACGGCCUCGCUGCGGGCGCGUCGUCCGCACCGUAGGGCGUUCCCAGCCCCCGCCUUUCAGAGCAAGAAACGUAUAGAUCGCUAUUUAUUUUCUCACUAGUAACGUCGCUUCCUAGGUAGGAGCCGGCUCCUUCCAUCCCACGGCCGCUUCCAGUUGGGGUGUGCGUGCAGAGGCGGAUGGGAAAGGGAACAUGUGCAUUCUGCACGUGGGCAUCCUUGGACCGACAUCAGCCAAAGCCCCGUCCUGAGAGACCAGGGCAUGGUUCCCCACCUCGGUGCUUUGCCUCAGCCAAACGCCUGACUGCUCGGUCAGGCAGGUGGAGACACCAAAAGGAUGCGAAAAGCUGCCCUGAGCUCCCAGGGAGAUGGCAUGGAGAAUGGUUGCUCUCUGCUGUGAGAACCAGGGACCAGCCAAUUGCACUAUCAGAUGAAACAGAGUGUUCUUCAGACACAUCAUUCAGGGAAAAAAAGUCAUUAAAGAACAAAGUGCCGUAAGGAGAGCCAGAUUCCUGGGGAACUACGGCAAUGUGGAGACAAAGCAUUUAUAAGCAAAACUGAAAUGGAGUUCAUCUGCAGCCGGACUGAAAGUGAUGCAGUGAAUGAACCGACAAUAUCCACCUGCUCCAGAUGUGGAGAGGCAGUGGAUGACCAAUGCUGGGCUGCCCAGUUGCCUUCUGAGGUAGCUGGCACAACCGGGAUGGCUCAUACCCAGACUGCGUCCUGUCAACAGAAAGGCAAAUGGGGAACAAAUAGAUUCAUAGUUUUUGCCCAUUGGUUGCCGAUAAGCUGUGUUUGAAAUGCUGCUCUUACUACUCACCUCCCCAACCACUCGCAGUGCCUCAGGAUUCCUUUCUUGAUAUUGCUGAAGCCUCUCAAGUGGAAGAUUCAGGGGAAGAAGUGUGCUGAGCUUGAUGAACUUUUUGAUCAGGUGAGUAGACUGUGAGUAGAUUGUGAGUAGAUUGCCAGGCUGAGAAGUAUCCAGCAAUCAGAGAGAGAGACUGAUGUGUGGUAUUGUGCAGUGAUGCAGGCAGAUCAACAGCCCUGUCUUAAGUUCCUGCAGGGGGAAGAAGCUAAGCAAGCUACCAACCCUGAGGAGGCAAAUGGC
ensembl:lncRNA